CGCCAUCUUGAUUGCUGAUUCGUGCGAUAGCGCGCGACCAAUCAACGUGUUCGUCUACACUGAGGCUUCCUAUCGUGACGAUUUCCACGGAAUCAGGGAACGCACCACUGAGAACUAGAACCCCUUUUCCAGAAAAACCUAUGUGAUAGGUAUAUAUUACCAUUACAAAGAUGAACUAUAAUCUGCACUACGAAUCAGACAUAACAAGAAACGACAUUGCGAAGAAUAUGCGAAGUAUAACAGCUCGACACAAUGUAUGACAGCGGUGGAAAUAUGUCAAGGAAUUACUCAGGGGGGAUUUGCUCCGUAACUAUAUUUUCCAGAUUUGAGGAUCGUAGAAUAACAAAAAUUGGUAAACUUAUCGCGACGUUGAGUGGUCGUCACUUAUGCGAGAUCGUUUGUCACACGUGCUACUUCGUUUCUUACUAUUUCGGUACCGGGAAUUCCCUCGUGCAUGCACGGUUCUUUGUUCUUAUUUCGAUAUACGUAUAUUCGCCACAAACACACGUACAACGAACUCGACUCAAACUCCGUCGGUUCGGAGCAACGUUCAACGUACGUGUGAACGCACUUUG